GUGGCUGUGGCUCAGUGGUAGAGGGCUUGCCUGGCAGGUAAGAGGUACUAGGUUCAAUUCUCAGCACCAUU
rnacentral:tRNA from 1 species